GACGAACCGUGCGAACGUUGUUCGGAUUCACUGGGCUUAAAGGGCGCGUAGGCGGCUUGCCAAGUCAGGGGGUGAAAUCUUUCGGCUCAACCGGAAAACGGCCCCUGAUACUGGCGGGCUUGAGGGAGGUAGGGCGGAUGGAACUUCCGGUGGAGCGGUGAAAUGCGUAGAUAUCGGAAGGAACGCCGGUGGCGAAAGCGAUCCGCUGGACCUCCUCUGACGCUG
rnacentral:rRNA from 1 species